CAGCAGCCGCGGUAAUACCGGUGGCUCGAGUGGUGGCCGCUAUUAUUGGGUCUAAAGGGUCCGUAGCCGGCUUGAUAAGUUACCUGGGAAAUCCGGUGGCCUAACCAUCGGGCGGCCGGGUAAUACUAUCGAGCUUGGGACUAGGAGAGACCAGAGGUACUCAUGAGGUAGGGGUGAAAUCCUGUAAUCUUAUGAGGACCACCAGUGGCGAAGGCGUCUGGUUAGAAUAGGUCCGACGGUGAGGGACGAAGGCUGGGGGCGCAAACCGGAUUAGAUACCCGGGUAGUCCUGGCUGUAAACGAUGCGGACUUUGUGUCGGACAAGCUAUGAGCUUGUCCGGUGCCGGAGGGAAACCGUUAAGUCCGCCGCCUGGGGAGUACGGCCGCAAGGCUGAAACUUAAAGGAAUUGGCGGG
rnacentral:rRNA from 1 species